GAAUUUUGGACAAUGGGGGCAACCCUGAUCCUGCCAUGCCGCGUGUGUGAAGUAGGUCUUCGGAUUGUAAAGCACUGUAAGUUGGGAGGAAGGGCUUUCGGCUUAUACCCUGAAGUUUUGACGUCACCAACCGAAUAAGCACCGUCCAACUCUGUGCCAUCAGCCGCUGUAAUACUGAGGGUGCAAGCGUUAAUCGGAAUUACUGGGCGUAAAACGCGCGUAGGUGGUUCAGUAAGAAGGGUGUGAUAUCCCCGGGCUUAACCUGGGAACUGCUUUCAUAACUGCUGAGCUAGAGUACGGUAGAGGGUAGUGGAAUUUCCUGUGUAGCGGUGAAAUGCGUAGAUAUAGGAAGGGACGCCAGUGGCGAAGGCGACUACCUGGACUGAUACUGACACUGAGGUGCGAAAGCGUGGGGAGCAAACA
rnacentral:rRNA from 1 species